rnacentral:rRNA from 1 species
GAUUUCUGGUUCGGCGCACUUGGCCCGUCUCGGUUUACGGGAUUGCGUGCCGGUGUGCGCCAUCCAUCCUUCGAUGAGAACAUUGUUGCCCUUUACUGGGUGACAAUGACUCUCUCGAUCUUUUACUUUGAAAAAAUUAGAGUGUUUAAAGCAGGCUUGCGCUAUGAAUACAUUAGCAUGGAAUAAUAAUUUAGGACUUUGGUCUUAUUUUGUUGGUUUCUAGGACUGAAGUAAUGAUUGAUAGGGAUAGUUGGGGGUGCUCGAAUUCAGCGGCCAGAGGUGAAAUUCUUGGAUUCGCUGAAGACGAACUCAUGCGAAAGCAUU